GUGCUUGAUCCCACUUGACAAUGGCGUGGCGGGCGCAGGGAAGGAGGGAGUAGGGAGAGGAGAGGAGGCGGAGGAGGAAGCGGCGGCGGAGGAGGUGGAGUGCGGCAGAGGAGGGAGAGACUGGAACGGUGGUGAGCAGCGAGGGCGGUGGGGUCGGAGGAGGAGCAGGAAUGGAGCGAGGUGGCAUCGGCGAGGGUGGAGGCGAGGAGGUCGGCGGCGCGGGUGAGCUAGGAGAGAGGAGCGGGACUGGAGGCACGGGGAGGAGGGAUCAGUGGCAGAGAGCGAGUGCGAGAUCGAAGGAUCGCGAGCUAGGGUUAAGGUUAGGGUUAGGGUUAGGGGUUUUGCAGGGGAGGAGGGAGAGAAGGGAGAGGCGGCUACGCUUCUCGGUGAGGA
rnacentral:lncRNA from 1 species